GGAAAUAUAGCUCAAUGGUAAGAACAGCACCCUUAUACGGUGUCGGUUAAAGGUUCAAGUCCUUUUAUUUCCACAA
rnacentral:tRNA from 1 species